rnacentral:rRNA from 1 species
GUGGGGAAUCUUCCGCAAUGGACGAAAGUCUGACGGAGCAACGCCGCGUGAACGAUGACGGCCUUCGGGUUGUAAAGUUCUGUUAUACGGGACGAAUGGUACGACGGCCAAUACCCGUCGUAAGUGACGGUACCGUAAGAGAAAGCCACGGCUAACUACGUGCCAGCAGCCGCGGUAAUACGUAGGUGGCAAGCGUUGUCCGGAAUUAUUGGGCGUAAAGGGCGCGCAGGCGGCGUCGUACGUCGGUCUUAACAGUGCGGGGCUUAACCCCGUGAGGGGAGCGAAACUGCGAUGCUAGAGUAUCGGAGAGGAAAGCGGAAUUCCUAGUGUAGCGGUGAAAUGCGUAGAUAUUAGGAGGAACACCAGUGGCGAAAGCGGCUUUCUGGACGACAACUGACGCUGAGGCGCGAAAGCCAGGGGAGCAAACGGGAUUAGAAACCCGGGUAGUCC